rnacentral:rRNA from 1 species
UACGUAGGGGGCAAGCGUUGUCCGGAUUUAUUGGGCGUAAAGAGCGUGUAGGCGGCCGGGUAGGUCUGCUGUGAAAACUCGGGGCUUAACCCCGAGCCUGCAGUGGAUACGGGCAGACUAGAGGUAGGUAGGGGAGAAUGGAAUUCCCGGUGUAGCGGUGAAAUGCGCAGAUAUCGGGAGGAACACCGGUGGCGAAGGCGGUUCUCUGGGCCUUACCUGACGCUGAGGAGCGAAAGCGUGGGGAGCGAACAGG